GGCUUCAUAGCUCAGUUGGUUUUGAGCGUCCACCGGUGUCGUCAGGUCACGGGUUCAUACCCCGUUGAAGCCC
rnacentral:tRNA from 1 species